GAUGAACGCUGACAGAAUGCUUAACACAUGCAAGUCUACUUGAACUUCGGUUUGGGUGGCGGACGGGUGAGUAACGCGUAAAGAAUUUGCCUCACAGUUAGGGACAACAUUUGGAAACGAAUGCUAAUACCUGAUAUUAUGAUUUUAGGGCAUCCUAAGAUUAUGAAAGCUAUAUGCGCUGUGAGAGAGCUUUGCGUCCCAUUAGCUAGUUGGAGAGGUAACGGCUCACCAAGGCGAUGAUGGGUAGCCGGCCUGAGAGGGUGAACGGCCACAAGGGGACUGAGACACGGCCCUUACUCCUACGGGAGGCAGCAGUGGGGAAUAUUGGACAAUGGACCAAAAGUCUGAUCCAGCAAUUCUGUGUGCACGAUGACGUUUUUCGGAAUGUAAAGUGCUUUCAGUUGGGAAGAAAAAAAUGACGGUACCAACAGAAGAAGUGACUG
rnacentral:rRNA from 1 species